CAAUAGCGUAUAUUAAAGUUGUUGCAGUUAAAAAGCUCGUAGUUGGAUUUGUGGCUGUCACGGGCGGCCUAUCACUUAGUGUUAGUGCUUGCCUGUGUCGCCAUCCUUGGGUGGAGCCCGUGUGGCAUUAGGUUGUCGUGCGAGGGAUGCCCAUCGUUUACUGUGAGAAAAUUAGAGUGUUCAAAGCAGGCUUAUGCCGUUGAAUAUGUUAGCAUGGAAUAAUAAGAUAGGACCUCGGUACUAUUUUGUUGGUUUGCGCACCGAGGUAAUGAUUAAUAGGGACAGUUGGGGGUAUUCGUAUUUCAUUGUCAGAGGUGAAAUUCUUGGAUUUCUGAAAGACGAACUGCUGCGAAAGCAUUUACCAAGGAUGUUUUCAUUAA
rnacentral:rRNA from 1 species